GGCCGUCUAGCUCAGUUGGUUAGAGCGUCGUGCUAAUAUGAAUGUUAAGAUUCAGUUUACGCGAAGGUCUUGGGUUCGACCCCCACGAUGGCCA